GAUGAACGCUGGCGGCGUGCCUAAUACAUGCAAGUCGAGCGAACGGACGAGAAGCUUGCUUCUCUGAUGUUAGCGGCGGACGGGUGAGUAACACGUGGAUAACCUACCUAUAAGACUGGGAUAACUUCGGGAAACCGGAGCUAAUACCGGAUAAUAUUUUGAACCGCAUGGUUCAAAAGUGAAAGACGGUCUUGCUGUCACUUAUAGAUGGAUCCGCGCUGCAUUAGCUAGUUGGUAAGGUAACGGCUUACCAAGGCAACGAUGCAUAGCCGACCUGAGAGGGUGAUCGGCCACACUGGAACUGAGACACGGUCCAGACUCCUACGGGAGGCAGCAGUAGGGAAUCUUCCGCAAUGGGCGAAAGCCUGACGGAGCAACGCCGCGUGAGUGAUGAAGGUCUUCGGAUCGUAAAACUCUGUUAUUAGGGAAGAACAUAUGUGUAAGUAACUGUGCACAUCUUGACGGUACCUAAUCAGAAAGCCACGGCUAACUACGUGCCAGCAGCCGCGGUAAUACGUAGGUGGCAAGCGUUAUCCGGAAUUAUUGGGCGUAAAGCGCGUGUAGGCGGUUUUUUAAGUCUGAUGUGAAAGCCCACGGCUCAACCGUGGAGGGUCAUUGGAAACUGGAAAACUUGAGUGCAGAAGAGGAAAGUGGAAUUCCAUGUGUAGCGGUGAAAUGCGCAGAGAUAUGGAGGAACACCAGUGGCGAAGGCGACUUUCUGGUCUGUAACUGACGCUGAUGUGCGAAAGCGUGGGGAUCAAACAGGAUUAGAUACCCUGGUAGUCCACGCCGUAAACGAUGAGUGCUAAGUGUUAGGGGGUUUCCGCCCCUUAGUGCUGCAGCUAACGCAUUAAGCACUCCGCCUGGGGAGUACGACCGCAAGGUUGAAACUCAAAGGAAUUGACGGGGACCCGCACAAGCGGUGGAGCAUGUGGUUUAAUUCGAAGCAACGCGAAGAACCUUACCAAAUCUUGACAUCCUUUGACAACUCUAGAGAUAGAGCCUUCCCCUUCGGGGGACAAAGUGACAGGUGGUGCAUGGUUGUCGUCAGCUCGUGUCGUGAGAUGUUGGGUUAAGUCCCGCAACGAGCGCAACCCUUAAGCUUAGUUGCCAUCAUUAAGUUGGGCACUCUAAGUUGACUGCCGGUGACAAACCGGAGGAAGGUGGGGAUGACGUCAAAUCAUCAUGCCCCUUAUGAUUUGGGCUACACACGUGCUACAAUGGACAAUACAAAGGGCAGCGAAACCGCGAGGUCAAGCAAAUCCCAUAAAGUUGUUCUCAGUUCGGAUUGUAGUCUGCAACUCGACUACAUGAAGCUGGAAUCGCUAGUAAUCGUAGAUCAGCAUGCUACGGUGAAUACGUUCCCGGGUCU
rnacentral:rRNA from 1 species